AGUAAUGUCUAGGGAAACUGCCGAUGGAGGGGGAUAACUACUGGAAACGGUAGCUAAUACCGCAUAACGUCGCAAGACCAAAGAGGGGGACCUUCGGGCCUCUUGCCAUCGGAUGUGCCCAGAUGGGAUUAGCUAGUAGGUGGGGUAACGGCUCACCUAGGCGACGAUCCCUAGCUGGUCUGAGAGGAUGACCAGCCACACUGGAACUGAGACACGGUCCAG
rnacentral:rRNA from 1 species